GACGAACGCUGGCGGCGUGCUUAACACAUGCAAGUCGAACGGAAAGGCCCUGCUUUUGUGGGGUGCUCGAGUGGCGAACGGGUGAGUAACACGUGAGUAACCUGCCCUUGACUUUGGGAUAACUUCAGGAAACUGGGGCUAAUACCGGAUAGGAGCUCCUGCUGCAUGGUGGGGGUUGGAAAGUUUCGGCGGUUGGGGAUGGACUCGCGGCUUAUCAGCUUGUUGGUGGGGUAGUGGCUUACCAAGGCUUUGACGGGUAGCCGGCCUGAGAGGGUGACCGGCCACAUUGGGACUGAGAUACGGCCCAGACUCCUACGGGAGGCAGCAGUGGGGAAUAUUGCACAAUGGGCGGAAGCCUGAUGCAGCAACGCCGCGUGCGGGAUGACGGCCUUCGGGUUGUAAACCGCUUUCGCCUGUGACGAAGCGUGAGUGACGGUAAUGGGUAAAGAAGCACCGGCUAACUACGUGCCAGCAGCCGCGGUGAUACGUAGGGUGCGAGCGUUGUCCGGAUUUAUUGGGCGUAAAGGGCUCAUAGGUGGUUGAUCGCGUCGGAAGUGUAAUCUUGGGGCUUAACCCUGAGCGUGCUUUCGAUACGGGUUGACUUGAGGAAGGUAGGGGAGAAUGGAAUUCCUGGUGGAGCGGUGGAAUGCGCAGAUAUCAGGAGGAACACCAGUGGCGAAGGCGGUUCUCUGGGCCUUUCCUGACGCUGAGGAGCGAAAGCGUGGGGAGCGAACAGGCUUAGAUACCCUGGUAGUCCACGCUGUAAACGGUGGGUACUAGGUGUGGGGUCCAUUCCACGGGUUCCGUGCCGUAGCUAACGCUUUAAGUACCCCGCCUGGGGAGUACGGCCGCAAGGCUAAAACUCAAAGGAAUUGACGGGGCCCCGCACAAGCGGCGGAGCAUGCGGAUUAAUUCGAUGCAACGCGUAGAACCUUACCUGGGUUUGACAUGGAUCGGGAGUGCUCAGAGAUGGGUGUGCCUCUUUUGGGGUCGGUUCACAGGUGGUGCAUGGCUGUCGUCAGCUCGUGUCGUGAGAUGUUGGGUUAAGUCCCGCAACGAGCGCAACCCUUGUUCACUGUUGCCAGCACGUUAUGGUGGGGACUCAGUGGAGACCGCCGGGGUCAACUCGGAGGAAGGUGGGGAUGACGUCAAGUCAUCAUGCCCCUUAUGUCCAGGGCUUCACGCAUGCUACAAUGGCUGGUACAGAGAGUGGCGAGCCUGUGAGGGUGAGCGAAUCUCGGAAAGCCGGUCUCAGUUCGGAUUGGGGUCUGCAACUCGACCUCAUGAAGUCGGAGUCGCUAGUAAUCGCAGAUCAGCAACGCUGCGGUGAAUAAGUUCCCGGGGCU
rnacentral:rRNA from 1 species